ACGGGAGAGAGAGGCAGCGAGCGCGCCCCGCGCUGCCGGGGGAGGCUUUGGGGCGCUGUCACCACACAUGUCCCCGUGUCCGUCUGUCCGGCUGUGUGUCCGUGAGCGCUCCCCGAGCCGCACACAGCGGCUGCGGGCUGGAGGGCUCCGUCCUGUGUGUGGAGCCUGAGCUAUGGAAAUGUGAGACCUCGAAAUAAAACAUGAGAAGAUGAAGGGGUUGGACAAAUUCAGCUGGAGGAGCGAGACUGAGCUGCUGUCUAAAAAGCAGCCAGCGGAGGCUAAUGAGACCUUUGGGGCAGCUGAGGAAGGUGGCAGGGUUCUUCCCAUGUUUCAGAAGACAAUAUGGGCCGUGUGAUCUGCUCUGACCUGCCUCCUAUUGUACAAGUUCACCAUUGGCUUCAGCGAGGGAAAGAUCGAGUUUUAUCUGAAUAAAGUCCAGCAAACUUUGCUGGAUGACAGCCCUUCCUCUCACUCCUCCUCUGAGCCUCAUGCAGUGUCAAUGCAAAAACUAGUCUGGAUGUCAAAUGUCUCAUUUAAGGCUUUAUCCUCAAGAUAUUUUGCAUAUGCUUC